CACGAUUAUUUUUUAUUUUAUAAAAAAAUAUAUAUACAUAUGUACAAUUUAUAUUCAAUAUUAUAAACAUCUGAGCAUUAUGUUCUACUGGUUAGACAGCUUCGCCCAGUGUCUUCAAACCCCACCUUUUGCACGGCUUUUUUUAAAUUUUACGCUGAUUUAACCAAAUGGCCCGACGGGCUGACCUGACACGGUCAGCAGGCCGGUGUGCCGUGCCUGCGGCGUUGGGCCUAGCGGACCCGACGCCGUGCCUGCGGCGUCGGGCCUAGCGGGCCCGUGUCGGGUCGUCGUUUGGUCGUCUAUAUGAAGAGGUGUGGUUUGAGACGUGGAGGUUGGCUGCGUAGAGGGGAAUGAUCGUUGAAACUGGUACUUUAAUUAUAGUAAGUAUGGAAAUGCGCAGUGUUUAUUUUACAGCAUAUAUAAUCCACGUGAUAGAUGCUGACGGUGGUCAGCUGACGACUGAUUCCAGCAAGGUGCUCAUUAGCCCAUACGCCUGUUUGAUCUGCUGCUGCUUCCGAAGGAGUUUAGUUGUGGUGGUGGACGUGGAUCAGCCGGUUCCGCAGGUCGACCACGUCCACCUCUUCGAACCGGUUCUCUGGGAUCCAGCAGCCCGUCUUGGGGUCCCUCAUCCAGAACUUGUCCUGCUUCGUCUUGUUGUUGGUCGCCCCCGACGCAUCCGCUGCCGCGACGACGCCCGCUUUCGUCGCCGCCGCUGCAGCAGCGGAGGCUUGAGCAUUCACCGCCAUCGCGUGCUGGACGCUGCCGUAGCUCCGCCGGCUGUGCAUGCAGGCACGCACGUCAAAUGCAUGAACAAGCGCGCGCGAUCGAUGCUAAUGAAUUUGGCUGGCCAAAUUGGAGAGAGAGAGAGAGAACUGAUGAUGUCCAUGUGCUAAACAAGUAAAACGACGAAAUGAAAUCCGUAUAUACACACGCACACAUAUAUAUACGUACUGAAGGAAUUACCUGACCAGGCCGGACACGAAGCUGCCUAUCUUGGACAUUGUCACAGUAAUCCAGGAGACCUAGCUACAAGAAGCUAGCUGGCCUGCCUAUCUCUCUCUGUCUAGGUUGUGAGCUGAGGCAGCUGGGGCGCUGUGGGGAAGAUGAGCAU
rnacentral:misc_RNA from 1 species